rnacentral:rRNA from 1 species
UACGAAGGGGGCUAGCGUUGCUCGGAAUCACUGGGCGUAAAGCGCACGUAGGCGGAUUGCUAAGUCAGGGGUGAAAUCCUGGAGCUCAACUCCAGAACUGCCUUUGAUACUGGCGACCUUGAGUCCGGGAGAGGUGAGUGGAACUGCGAGUGUAGAGGUGAAAUUCGUAGAUAUUCGCAAGAACACCAGUGGCGAAGGCGGCUCACUGGCCCGGUACUGACGCUGAGGUGGCGAAAGCGUGGG